rnacentral:rRNA from 1 species
UACGAAGGGGGCUAGCGUUGUUCGGAAUUACUGGGCGUAAAGCGCGUGUAGGCGGUUGCCCAAGUCGGGUGUGAAAGCCUUGAGCUCAACUCAAGAAAUGCACUCGGUACUGGGUGACUAGAGGACCGGAGAGGAUAGUGGAAUUCCCAGUGUAGUGGUGAAAUACGUAGAUAUCAGGAAGAACACCUAUGGCGAAGGCAGCUCUCUGGGACGGUACUGACGCUGAGACGCGAAAGCGUGGGGAGCGAACAGG